GCAGCAGAUCAUCCAACUUUAUUCAUAUAUAUAAAUGUCGCAGACAUAUAUGAUACAAAAAGAAUGAGGAAUAGCAACACUGAACCAAAUUCCCGCUCAAAUCUAGUAUGAUACUUCUACUGCAUCAGGGCCGUCAUAAGGAGGGACAGCAGUGCGGACGACACCACGGCCACAGCGGAGGCCGGAGCGGAGGCCGCGCCAGCGACCGGUCCCGGCGCCGGAGCAGACGCGGGCGCCAUGGACUCCUGCGCCGCCGCGGAGGCCACGAGGACGGCCACGACGAAGAGCAGAGCGGAGGCGACGCGGGGAGCCAUCAGGGGCGUCUUGAGAAUCUUCGGAGUAAAAGGAUUCUGUAGGGCAAAGCUGUGGCGGCGGCGCGGUGUUUGUUUGUGCUGCGCUGGGAUUAGGGAUGGGAAGGGAGGUUUGCUGGGACGAGGCUUUUAUAGGCCGUCGCACGCGGCAAAAUGGAGGAUUGGAGGUAGGCCCACCCCAUUUCCGUCGUCAGCGGUCAGUCAGCCGUGAAGGUGGGUUCGGCGGUCGCGGACGUGGGUUUCUCUCGGUUUCGCCCCG
rnacentral:lncRNA from 1 species